rnacentral:lncRNA from 1 species
AGUACUUUUUUUUUCUUUAUUGAGAGCCUUUUUUUGGUUUUGACUGAUUAUUUAAAACCCCUUUCUUGUCCCUUUUCUAAGAACCUCCCUGGAGGGUUUGUAGAUUUCAUAAAGGUUUACCAUCCCCUUCCCCAAGUGUCUUAAAUCCUCAUUGAUGACAUAUAUUCCUACAUUAGGGUAGAAACUAUGACAUUUUCUUUUAAUUACUGGAUUGUCAGUGUCUUACUAUAUUUCUAUUAGUAAAAGCUCCACAAAUAAGUACUUGAUGAGUAAAUGAAUGAAUGUUUGUGCUUCCAACAUCUCAACUAUGUAGGUGGUCUCCAUAGCUGGGUAGAAACACUUAUGUAUAUAUAGGCAUUUGCUGACUAAUUUUAUUUGCGUUCUUUUAAUAAGACAUUUUUAAAGUAUGUGGAGGGAGACAUUGUGUAAAACACUGUUAGAAGAUUGAAAGUCCUUUUCCAAAACUACCAAUCGAAAAUAAACAUCACUGCUAUUCUCAUCUCUCCCAUUCAAAUCCAUCCUUCCUCAAAUUAAGAUGUUUUAAGUGUCUAGUCAUUUGUACCACUGUUCAGAAAGAGAAGAGGUACAUUAAAAUCAUUUAUGUACUUUUUUCAGAAUUUUAACUUGCUGCUUCUUUAAGUUGAGCUCUAGGUGAAUGUGACCUCUUUUUCUUUUCUCUUUAUUGACUGGCUCCAGGUCCUUGUUACAUUGUAUUCCCUCUCGUGUUUACCAUAUCUGUGACCUUUUCAUAUUCUCACAACUGUUUGUCUGAUAGCAUCCACCUUGGACGUUUCUGUCCUCCAGAGACAUCUUCCACUAUGUUCCCAUUAUUUAUCAGCCACUCAGGCUCAGAAAGUCACUGGAAAAGACGUUGCUCUGAAAAGUCUUUUAUUUGAAAGAAGUAUCCAGAUGACGGAUUAGGUCUGUAAAUGUUAAAUUUUCAAUAUUGCCUAUUUAGAGGACAUAUGUGUAUGUAUGGCUUUCCUUAUUUUAAAAACACUACACCAUGAAAAUAUAUUAUACACUUCACUUUGAUGGUAUGUAAACACUUAUUCUAGAAAUAAAAUGAAUAAUGAAUAGUCUUCAUGUCUGAAUUUCAUUAAAAAGGAACUGGAAGCAUACCAUUGUUUCAUAUUGAUGAUUUUACAAUGGGUAUGUUUAAAUGCAAGUAUUCUGCUGUUUAUUCAUUCUUUUACUGUCAGAACAAACAAUGUUACUUGUGGGAGUGAGCAACAGACUGAUAGUUUGGAAAGAACCCAAUAGACUUGAUAUAUAAUAAAACAAUUGAAAAUAUCUUUUGAACUGAUGAGACAUUUCCAGUUUAUUUUCUGUCCUAUACGUACAGUUUUGUCAAAUGCCACCAAACGUUAACAAAAUAGCAAGAGUCCAUAUUGUAUUCUGAGAGUGAAUCAUAGGCUAAGGGGAUCUUUGUCUGAUAAUUUCUGUAGUGUAAUGUUGAUCUCAUAGGUCCAAAGAAUAUCCUGACUGGACCCUAGGACCUAUGAUGCAUGAAUAUAUACUUAUAUAUUUAAUAUAUUGUUCUUAAUACUAUAUUAAUUUCUUCUAAGCACAUUGUUAAAUCAGUCAACUCUGGCUGCACAUUAGAGUAAUUUAAGAAGCUUUUUAAAACACUGAAGUUUCAAGCUGAUCCCAGAGUAGCUGAGCUGUCUGGAUUGACCGAGGCAUGAGGAUUUUUAACAUUCUCCAAAAUGAUUCUAAUGUGAAGCCAGAGUUGAAAACCGCUGCACAAGUGGAAUAAAUAUAUUUCUAGAGCUGUCCAUUUCUACUUCAGUAUUAAGAUUUUUUGUGUAGUCCUUUUCUUGAACAUACGAUUUUCUUAAAAACUGAAAAAAUAACAUAAUUAUUUAUAUAUGUAAUUUAGGGUAGGGUAAAAUCUAAUUCGCAGUAGGAAACAUCCCCACACAGAAAGAAAAUUCCCUUCAACCAGUCUUUGACCAAAGGAACAACUACUGUUGCUCCAUCUUUAAAUUUCAGUGUCAUGAUCAUUUAUAAAACCUAUAAAUACUCCUGACCUGUUGUGAUUUCCUAUUAGAGAAAAAAAUAUAUAUAUUUCUCAAUUUUAAGCCAUAUAUCUAUUAUAUUUAUUAUCCAGAAAGGAAAUAGUUAAGAUUUCUCAUUUUACCAAAGAGAAAAGUAGACAUCAAAUGCCAUAUGAUGGAAAUUUAAUUUAUUAUAGCAGUACUGAGCUGUUCCUAAGAAUAAAUAGCUCCUGCUAUUUGGGAUCUAUGCAGUUGAGGCUCAUCCUUGAAUUUCAUUGUGGAAGGAUUUUCAGAUGCCAAGAUAAGAAGCAACAGUGUAGAUGAUGACUGUAUUCAAAAGGACACUGGGCUGUUUUGCAGGAAAAUCAUAUUAAAGAUUUGUAUCUUGUUUUAUGUCACUUGUUACCCAUAUAUCAUAUCAAAAUUUCCUUUUUCUUGCCUUUAAUCCAUAGAUUAUAACUCUAAUACAUUGUAUGUAUUGUAUUUCAAGUUGAAGUCCACUCACAUUCAUAAAUAUGUAACAUUUAUGUCCUGAUUAUAUUUUUAACAGAUAUUAAUUCUGUUAAUAUUUAAUGAAAAUGCUAGUCUCAUAAAAAAAUCUAGUAUGUUAUUGGAAUAAUAGCAUAUUAUUAGAAAAAUAGUAUGUUAUUAGAGUAGUGUAAGAUUUAUAAUCUUAUAAUCUUUAAGAUUUAUAAAUAUCUCAAAAUAGUUUACAUAAGAUACAUAAUGUCAGUCCAGUGCUGGUGAAGGUCUCUUGUUAAAUUCUUAUUGAAUAUUUAUUAAGUUAAUAAUCAAAGCUACUUAUUAAGGAAUAAUAAAUAUUUUUGAGAAAUUAGGAGUUCCCAUUGUGGUGCAGUGGUUAACGAAUCCGACUGGGAACCAUGAGGUUGCAGGUUCUAUCCCUGGCCUUGCUCAGUGGGUUAAGGAUCCGGCGUUGCAGUGAGCUGUGGUGUAGGUUGCAGACGCGGCUCUGAUCCCACGUUGCUGUGGCUCUGGCAUAGGCUGGCGGCUACAGCUCCGAUUAGACCCCUAGCCUGGGAAACUCCAUAUGCCACGGGAGCGGCCCAAGAAAUGGCAAAGAGACCAAAAAA